GACGAACGCUGGCGGCGUGCCUAAUACAUGCAAGUAGAACGCUGAAGGAGGAGCUUGCUUCUCUGGAUGAGUUGCGAACGGGUGAGUAACGCGUAGGUAACCUGCCUGGUAGCGGGGGAUAACUAUUGGAAACGAUAGCUAAUACCGCAUACAGUAGAUAUCGCAUGAUAUCUACUUGAAAGGUGCAAUUGCAUCACUACCAGAUGGACCUGCGUUGUAUUAGCUAGUUGGUGAGGUAACGGCUCACCAAGGCGACGAUACAUAGCCGACCUGAGAGGGUGAUCGGCCACACUGGGACUGAGACACGGCCCAGACUCCUACGGGAGGCAGCAGUAGGGAUUCUUCGGCAAUGGACGGAAGUCUGACCGAGCAACGCCGCGUGAGUGAAGAAGGUUUUCGGAUCGUAAAGCUCUGUUGUAAGAGAAGAACGAGUGUGAGAGUGGAAAGUUCACACUGUGACGGUAUCUUACCAGAAAGGGACGGCUAACUACGUG
rnacentral:rRNA from 1 species